AGACGCGCGCUGCUCAGUGAGGUGGGGUCUUCACGUAAGGGCGAGGCGAGCGCUGCCUUGUGGGGCGGGGCCUCCACGUGAGGGUAAGGCGCACGCUGCCCCGUGGGGCGGGGUCUCCACGUGAGGGCGAGGCGAGCGCUGCUCAGUGAGGUGCGGUCUCCACGUGAGGACAGGCGAACGCUGCCUUGUGGGGCGGGGCCUCCACGUCAGGGAAAAGGACCUCUCAAAAGACUGGAGGUUUAACAACAAAUGAGGAUUUGCUUCACUUUGUGUAUUUUUUGACACAAAGUUUUCUCAGAACAGCGGGCACCUGUGGGUCCGAAUUGUUCAAUAAUCCUCAAAGAACGAAAGCCACCGAGAAAAGCGUUUAAAGGGCAGUUGAGAUAACAGCCGGUGCCUGGACUUGGCCACGCGGAAACCCUCGAGGGCAGUGGCUCUCAAAGUGUAGUGCCUGGACUGGACCAGCAGCAGCAGCGUGAUCACCGGGAAACUUGUUAGAAAUGCAAAUUCUUGGGCCUCACCCUAGACCUACUGAAUCACUGUAAAGAUGCGGCCCAGCAGUCUGUGUUUUAGCAAGUCCACCACGUGAUUCUGAUGCAGGCUGAAGUUAAGAACCAUUGCUUACGCGGGCCUCUCACUGUUGUGGCCUCUCCCGUCGUGGAGCACAGGC